rnacentral:rRNA from 1 species
CCCUUAGAUGUUCUGGGCCGCACGCGCGCUACACUGAUGAAUUCAACGAGCACUAACCUGUGCAGAAAUGUUCGGGUAAUCUUGUGAAAUUUCAUCGUGAUGGGGAUUGAUUUUUGCAAUUAUUAAUCAUAAACGAGGAAUGCCUAGUAAGCGUGAGUCAUCAGCUCACGUUGAUUACGUCCCUGCCCUUUGUACACACCGCCCGUCGCUCCUACCGAUUGAAUGUGCUGGUGAAAAGUUCGGAUUGGGAAUAGGAGACGACAACGUAUCCUGUUUCUGAGAAAAUCUUUAAACCCUCCCAUUUAGAGGAAGGAGAAGUCGUAACA